UGCUGCUGGAUCAUUACCU
rnacentral:rRNA from 2 species